GUUCAAAUAGCUUAAAUUUAAAGUAUAUUAUUGAAGAUGAUGAGAUGACUGAAAAAUCUUUAAACA
rnacentral:tRNA from 1 species